rnacentral:rRNA from 1 species
CAGUAGCCGCGGUAAUACGAAGGGUGCAAGCGUUAAACGGAAUUACUGGGCGUAAAGCGUGCGUAGGCGGUGAGUUAAGUCUGCUGUGAAAUCCCCGGGCUCAACCUGGGAAUGGCAGUGGAUACUGGCUCGCUAGAGUGUGUCAGAGGAUGGUGGAAUUCCCGGUGUAGCGGUGAGAUGCGUAGAGAUCGGGAGGAACAUCAGUGGCGAAGGCGGCCAUCUGGGACAACACUGACGCUGAGGCACGAAAGCGUGGGGAGCAAACAGGAUUAGAUACCCGCGUAGUCCCUGUCUCUUAUAA